UGACGGAGCGACUGGAGUAUGUGGAUUGUGGGUAUCGUUCGGGUUAGAGCUGAAUCAUAGAAAUCCUAUAUAAAACGAUAUGAGCAGAAUUAGCUUUGAGUGUGAACAAAGCUGACAAUACUUUAAACUCAUUCAAUACAAUGCAGCAAACAGCAUCUGUUAAGAAGAGAAGAGACACUAAAAUGAAGUUAUUAUUUAUAUGCAAAGAUGCUAUGAAGUUUAGUAAUCAAUAACAUGUCAGAGAACAAGAACACGUGAGCGACCAUCUUCACACAAAAAAGAAAAAAACAAUAAUGAG